rnacentral:lncRNA from 1 species
AGUGCAAUCUUCGGUUGCCUGGACUAGCGCUCCGGUUUUUCUGUGCUGAACCUCAGGGGACGCCGACACACGUACACGUCCCUUCGAUAGCUCAGCUGGUAGAGCGGAGGACUGUAGCUACUUCCUCAGCAGGAGACAUCCUUAGGUCGCUGGUUCGAUUCCGGCUCGAAGGAGACAAGUGCGGUUUUUUUCUCCAGCUCCCGAUGACUUAUGGCACUUUCCUUGGGUGCCUUCAGUGACACAUUGCAUUCCAACGAGCAGUUUGAAAGUCUAGCGCUUUCUCCCCAUUUUGGGCCUCCCAGCCUGCACGGGACUCAUCUGAGGCUAAGCUGCCCAUAGUUCGGGGAGACCCACAGGGAAAACAAAACAAGAAACAGAGAACUUGGAAACGGACGCUGAUUACUUUGAACGUUUGCUCAACCGAGGAAGCAGGAACUGUUCGGCCCCAUCUCAAGUCCGCAGGGCGGACUGCCUGGCUCUGGGCAGAUCCGAGGUGGAUAGGACAAGGCAAAAGGUAGCCCUGGAGAGGUGAGUGGAUAAAGUCCCUGGACACAGGGGCUGCCGUUGGAGGAGGUUGUAAUGUCAUUGUCCUCCUGUGGAAGUUAACUGUGGAGAAUUAACUAGAGACCAGCGCUGAGAGAGAAUUAAUUGGAUAAAAGUUCUAUCUAGGACAGUCCUUGAGCGUAAUUUUGUGAAGCAAACACAAGACAACAACAAAACGAGUAAAACCUAAACACACAUCCACACACUCACUGAAAGAUUCAGAGAUUGCACAGAACACAAAGACUUUUCUGGUAAUAAAAUCUCCCUAUCCUAAUUUUCUAGAAAAAAAGCUGUUGAAGCCACCGCGCAGUUCUUACAAGACAUAACACAAAUCUUCCACACAAAGGCAGAAAUACAGUAUCAACCUUUGUGAGGAGUACAGCAAAUAAAUGAUGUUUCUUUAGGGUCCUAGG